rnacentral:lncRNA from 1 species
CCUCGUUCUCCACUCUCACUCUUCAACAGCUCCUUCGACAUGAUCGGUCCUAUUUUUGGCCCUUUUUUUUAAUGAAGAAAAUGGAAAAUCUUUUUUCAUUACUCUCCUCCUCUGUCUCUGCUCGACUCGUCGUCGCCUGCUUGACUCACUGAUCCAUAACGGUGAUUAUUCUCCACUUUCUCUCCUUUAACAUGCCCUACUUUGCAGUGGCCUCACAUCCCCAUUAUUUACGCUUUCUUCUCUUCUUAGCCAUUUAACCCAAGGCACUAGGAAUAUAAAUUGUCCGCUGUUUAUGAAGUGAGUAUUAAUGCUCAUGUUAAUUCUCAAUUGCAACCGGAGCAAGCUCUUUUUGAUUUUGAUCAAAUGGUUGAUAAAGGGUUUGUGCCCAAGUUGGCUACACUGAAUAAUGUACUGAAUUUUCUUAUGAAGAGGAAUAAAUUUGAGAAAGCUUGAUGUGUAUUUGAUAGAUAUAAGUGGAGAAUUGUUACGAAUGUGCACACCUUUGGGAUUUUGAUGAACAGUUGUCGUGAUACUGGUGAUUUGAAGAGAGGAUUUUAGGUUUUGAACAAAAUGUCUAGCAUGGUUAUAGACUUAAAGUCCAAAUAUUGUUGUAUACACUACGUUGAUUGAUGCCUGAUGGGUGUUGAAGGAAUUGUUUUGUAAAAUGGAAGAGCUGGAUUUGGUUGCUAAUCAGUACACUUACACUGUUUUGAUAAAUGGGCUCUUUAAGAAAGGACUUAAAAAGAGAUGGAUUCAAGCUCUAUGAGAAGAUAAAGCUUGAUUGGGCUUUUCCGGCUUGUAUGCUUACAAUUCUAUGAUAUAUGAGUAUUGCAAGGAAUAAGGAUGGUAAGAUGAGCAAAGCUUAUGAACUGUUCAAUGAAAUGCGUGUGAGGAGUGGCAUGUAAUGUUGUGACACACAAACUUUAAUUGCAAAGUAAGCUACUUCAUCUUCUUAAUUUCUUUUCUUUCUUGCCCUCUUUUAAACACUUGUUGGAAAGAAGACAAGAAAUCGUAUUGUAAUGCUUAGCUAUCCAUAUUGUCAUGCCCAUUGUAUUUGGUAUUAGAAAUUGUCUCACAUUGAUUUUAUUAAAUACAUUCUACAGAAAUAGUUUAUGACCUUUAAUGGUAUUCCGUCCUUGCUAAUGCUUCAUAAUCAUGUUAAUAUUUGUAAGGUUAUGGUAUUAUAGCACCAAAACUACAAAGAAACUAACUAAACCAAGCUUUCCAUUGAUUUUGGGGCUAAUUUAUGGAGUUUGCCUUGGGCCCCAAAAAUCACGGGACCGGUCCUAUCCUUUAAGCAUAGAUUUACCUUAUUAUUAUAUUUUAAUAAUACUUUAUUUGUUUACUCAAAGCCAGAUUUUGACCUCGAUCCAAUAGAAACACUUUCGUGAUUUAACCAAAACCUAGUUUACCAUUUAUUAUUUAGGUGUAACAGCAAUUUUCAUCAAGUUUGUGGCCUUUCUUAUGAUGCCACUCUCCCCCUUCUUUCUAAUUCACUGGUAAUAAUCUCUACUCUUUACUACUCAAUUUGCAUUGAGGUGUUCAAUAGUCUUCGUGUUCCUCUAUUAGUUGUAAUUAUUUUGGUUAUUGAAGGGCUAUAUUGGCAUCUUUCUUCUGUUGCAUUUUUGCAUUUCUUUUUUAUUAUUUCAGUUUAUGUGUUGAUACUAAUUAGAUCAUAUUUUUAGGUCAACGAGUGAUAAGCUGCAUUUUUCUGAACAAAGAUAUCAGAAUGAAAUCGAAAAUAAAAUGGGCAGCCAUUGGAGGACUAGUGUUGUCAUUUAUGUCUUUAUUGGUGCAUUUAUUUCUUGCCAAGUAUAGCGCUGAUCUAGUAGAAUACAGUGAAAUCUUUGGUGUUUACUACGAUAUCAUUACCUUGUUGUGAUUUUCAUAUUGUUGUGCAUGUCUGAAUGAGUUACUAAUAUUGUCAUUGGCAAUCGAUGUAAUGCAAAGGUCACAACACGUUCCAACGUGUCAAAUGUGGAGAAAGUACAUGAUGCAUUCGACGAUGUACAUAACGUGUCAAAUGUGGAGAAAUUAUACAAUACCGAUAUUUUUGUCCUUGAUUAUGAUUUGUAGGACCUUUUGAUGUAUUUGUAUGUUUACGAUUUAUGAGUGUAAAUAUAAUUUUAUAGUGUAUGUUGAAUGCUGG